AUGUUUAUCCAGCACAAGAUGUAUCGGGUAAAUACUACAUUUAACUUUGUGCACCUAAUAGGUGUGAACAUGAAGAAGUGGUGCAUUUUGCAAUCAAAAAUAAAAUCUGGAGCAACUGAGGAGGUAUGCCGUACCAUCUUGUUCAUUUUAAGGUCUCCAUGCUGGCAAGAUGGAGUACUGAUAAUUCUCAUCUGUAACAUGGAAGAAAUGGCAUAG
rnacentral:rRNA from 1 species